rnacentral:sRNA from 1 species
UUGCUGCCAUUAAUGUGUCUCUUUCUCUUUUUUUGUUCUUUGACCUAGGGAAGAUUUAGGAUUCAGAUUUAUAUCGGAACAGGUCAGUCACCACCCCCCCAUCAGUGCGUUCCACUCGGAAGGCCUCAACCAUGACUUCCUGUUCCACGGCUCCAUCUACCCCAAGCUCAAGUUCUGGGGCAAAAGCGUGGAGGCGGAGCCCCGAGGCACCAUCACCCUGGAGCUGCUCAAGUGAGUGUCGACAUAACGAAGCCUACACCUGGACCAACCCCACCUGCUGCGUCCACAACGUCAUCAUCGGGAAGCUGUGGAUAGAGCAGUAUGGGACAGUGGAGAUUUUAAACCACAGAACUGGACAUAAGUGUGUGCUUCACUUUAAACCGUGUGGAUUAUUUGGAAAAGAACUUCACAAGGUGGAAGGACACAUUCAAGACAAAAACAAAAAGAAGCUCUUUAUGAUCUAUGGCAAAUGGACGGAAUGUUUGUGGGGCAUAGAUCCUGUUUCAUAUGAAUCCUUCAAGAAGCAGGAGAGGAGAGGCGACCACCUGAGAAAGGCCAAGCUGGUAAGGGCUGGGGCGUCUCCGGGCAGAGCUGAGCCCUGGGUGCUGAGGGCUGCCAGGCCGCUGCUGCCUUUAGCUCACUGUUGGGGGCCCAGGGAGCCUUUGGGCCCCACCAGGAGAGAUGAAUGUGCAGAAUUUGUCUGUCCAGAUGAACCGUGUGUUGUGGGUUCCAGUAUCAGUAGGGGGGGUUAAUCUGUAUUUCUUUCCGUUUUUUUUUUUUUUUUUUCCCCCUCCAGGCAGGGUCUCCCUCUGUUGCCCAGGCUGGAGUGCAGUGGUGCAGUCAUAGCUCACUGCAACCUCCAGCUACCAGGCUCAAGCAGUCCUCCGUCCUUAGCCUCCCAAGUGGCUAGGACUAUAGGCAUGUACCACCAUGCCUGACUAAUGUUUAUUUUUUUUUGUAGAGAUGGGGUCUUGCUAUGUUGCCCAGGCUGGUCUUGAACUCCUGGGCUUAAGCAAUCCUCCCACCUCGGCCUCCCAAAGUGCUGGGAUUACUAAUAGGCGUGAACCACAACACCCAGCCGAUUUAUCUGUAUUUCGGUUGCACGGAGGCUGCUGCUAUAAACCGUGGGCACCAGUGCCCUAGAGUCAUACAUGGUCGCUGGCCCCCAUGGCUGGAAGUAUCUGAGGGAACCUCAGGCAAGGCCGUUUCUUUUCUGGAAGCUCCAAGUUCUGGGUCCUUCUUAAUAAAUCUUCUUGCUUUCUUUGAGUUAGCCUAGACAUAUUGUUAAAAAUCAAGUGAAUUUCAAUUUUUUGUUUUUAGUUGUGAGUACCAAAUAAUAUAUUCAACAGCCAGAAAGUACUGGCAAGGCUUUUUCCCCUUAGAGCUUUGGAAUACUCAUUACCUUAAGACUAGUUGUUCUUGAACUUAAAAGUGAUAGUUCAAAAGAGGUGUCAUAUUUUCUACAUAAUGAAUUGGAAUGUACCAAGCCUGAAAUGUUCAAUAUUUAUUUAACGGAAACAUUCAGCCUCCUCCGGAUCCCAAGUGUUUUUUAUGUUGUAGUAUUCAUUUGUGCUGUUAGACACCUUUUCUAAUCACCCUCUUUUAUUUAAAAAGGAAAAUUCUGCUUACACACUAGACAGACCUAGAAGGGUAAAUCCAUUUAGCGAUGUCUUUUGAUGCUUUCCUGCUCCUUAAGGUGACCUAGAAACGGGAGUUUUCUGUGAAUGCUUCCCCCUGGGCUUUGACUUGCCCCGGCCUCAGGCCACGGGGCCUACAGCCAGUGUGAAUACAGCUGGUGCAGGAAGCCCUGGGCUUUGACUCGCUUGUUUUCAGUGGUCUCCCUGAACAGCUGCUUCUGGAAUCAUUGUCUCCCUUUUCUAGGACCCAUUUAUUUUGAGAAGCAAUGUGGCAGGUUUUAUCUUUUCAUCAGGGUGUAGAGAGCCUGAAACCCCCACACAGGAGCCACUUAUUGAUGGAGGGCAAAGCUGCGCUAUCUAGAAAGCUCUCAGUCCCAGAACCUGCCUUCUGGAGAGGCGCCGUGCGUGUGAAUGAACCUGCUGUUUGGAAGGCACCGCUGUGUCGUCGCGCUCAGACUCCACCAAGGCACCGCUGUGUCUUCGCACUCAGACUCCACGAAGGCACCGCUGUGUCUUCGCACUCAGACUCCACAAAGGCACCGCUGUGUUGUCACGCUCAGACUCCAUGAAGUGCCGUUUCGCGUGCACCGCUUCUCCUGAAGGGAAACACGCCUGGCCACUGACUUCCUUCGUCUCUGCGAAGGGAAACACGCCUGGCCACUGACCUCUGUCGUCUCCGCUCUGGGUGUCAGUUGGAACAGAAAGCACAGCCCCACGAAGGGAGUGUGAGCUGCUUUAGGGACUGGGGCCCAGCUCCUCUCCGUACAGUGAUGGACAGACAGUGUCAUAGACUGGAGAGGAAAUUCGAUUUUCUCCUUAGUUUAAGAAGAAAAAGGCCGGGUGUGGUGGUUUACGCCUGUAAUCUCAGCACUUUGGGAGGCCGAGGCGGGUGGAUUGCCUGAGGUCAGGAGUUCGAGACCAGCCUGGCCAACAUAAGUGAAACCCCGUCUCUACUAAAAGUACAAAAAAUUAGCUGGGCAUGGUAAUGGGCGCCUGUAAUUCCAGCUACUCAGGAGGCUGAGGCAGGAGAACCUCUUGAACUCGGGAGGCAGAGGUUGCAGUGACCCGAGAUCGCACCAUUGCACUCCAGCCUGGGCGACAGAGCGAGACUCCGUCUG